UCAGUACCUACGACAACUCCCUCCGCGGCUUUCCUUUGACAGAAACACGUGAAUGUGUGGAAUCAAAUAGCUCUGACAUCUGUUUCCCGGGGACUGGUAAGUCGUGCUGCGUUAGAACCUCUGUUUGGAACGUUCGGGAAAUAAGUGCCAUGUGGAUUUGACACAGACUUUAUUUCAAUGUCGGCAUCAAUUCGAUCGGCGUGAGUCGUGUGCGCGCUUCACUUUCCACCCGACGUUGACGUGAAAUGUCCCCGACUGUCACCGAGACGUCCGCUUUCCCCCUGACGGCGGAGAAGAACUUCUCGAGCGCGAAUUAUUGGAAGUGACGGGGGGGCGCCAUCCGUGACUCUGAUAAAUACUGGAGGGAGGGGGAGGGGACAACAGGGCGAGUGAAUGGAAGAAAAAUGUGGGGGGAGUGGAGGCUGGAGUGUGUGUGUGUGUGUUUGUGUGUGUGUGUGUUUCCAUCCAGCUGUAUCUUACCUUUCCCUCCACUUUGACAUGCCGACAGCCGACACCCAACCUGCAACUUCAUGCUGGAGGUGGAGAGGGACCAGCUGGAGUGUGUGAAGCGGCUGCGGGAGGAGGACGAGGAGGAGGAGGUCGCCGACGUCCGCCGCAAAGGUCACAAUCACUCGCAAACGUGACAAUUAGAAGAUUUUUUUAUUUAUUUCAAGAAUAAAGUCAAAAUUUCGACCCUGAAGCACUUCUCCGCAGCCCCAAACAACCGGAUGUUGAUGUUUUGUUAGCCAGUUUGCUAAGCUAAUGCUAGCUGCUAACGAAGUUGUAAAGUCGCGAUAUUAUUAUUCUCAGGCUAAGCCGGUGACAAUGGGUGUCCUGACACGUGUGUCCUGACACGUGUGUACUGACAUGAUAACGUUUUGAAUUUUGAGAGGCGUGCAGUUACCGAAGCUAGCAUAGCUUUGCUAACGUUAGCUAACAUGGAUGUGUGACAGCUGAAGUGGAACCACAACAUGGACUUUUAGGGCCAUUAUAAAUUAAAAAUCUGUGAAAUCUGAAAAAAACAACCUCCAAUUAGAUUUUUAAAAAUUCCUGGAUCCGCCCCUUUGUCCAGAUCCGAGCCGGACAAAGGGGCCAAAAUUGAAUGGGUUAUUUCUUGGUCCGUUUUCCAUCCUUCCGUCGAAUUUCUUGGAAAUCUGCUCCGUAGUUUUUGUGUGAUCCAGGGGUGAAGAAAGAAAAAAGUGCUGUCAAUCAUAGUUUAGCCCAAAAACCAAACCUGAUAACAACAAAGCUACAGGAAGCUCUGCAGCUAUUGUUUGGUUUCAUCGAUACAGUAUUGCCUCACGCAAGUCAACACAACCAAAGAAUAUC
rnacentral:lncRNA from 1 species